AGUUUCACCUCAGGGGAUGGUCAAAAAGAGAUCAGCUUUUGAAGAUCUUACCAAUGCUUCUCAAAGUCAACCUGCACAGUCCAAGAAGGAAGCCAAUAAGGAGAUUGUAAAAGAUGUUUUCAGGAAAAUAAGCAAGAAUAGGCGUGUUUACGGAUCUGCUAAACACAAGGAGAUGA
rnacentral:lncRNA from 1 species